rnacentral:rRNA from 1 species
UACGGGGGGGAGCAAGCGUUGUUCGGAUUUACUGGGCGUAAAGGGCGCGUAGGCGGUCAGCACAAGUCAGUUGUGAAAUCUCCGGGCUUAACUCGGAAAGGUCAACUGAUACUGUGCGACUAGAGUGCGGAAGGGGCAACUGGAAUUCUCGGUGUAGCGGUGAAAUUCGUAGAUAUUCGCAAGAACACCAGUGGCGAAGGCGGCUCACUGGCCCGGA